rnacentral:rRNA from 1 species
UACGGGGGGUGCGAGCGUUGUCCGGAAUCACUGGGCGUAAAGGGCGCGUAGGUGGCGUCGUAAGUCUGUGGUGAAAGCCCGGAGCUCAACUCCGGGUCUGCCGCGGAUACUGCGAGGCUUGAGUGCUGUAGAGGGGGGUAGAAUGCCGGGUGUAGCGGUGGAAUGCGUAGAGAUCCGGAAGAACACCGGUGGCGAAGGCGGCCUGCUGGGCAGUUUUGCUGACACUGAGGCGCGACAGCGUGGGGAGCAAACAGG